AUUAUUUAACUUAAAUGGCAUCUUUUUCCUUUCUAAAAUGUUUUCUUUUUCUCAUGCCCGACAUAAAACCCCUAAUUUUUUCCCCUAAAAUCAAUAUCCUCAAAACACCCCAAUCUCACCCCUCCGUUGCCCUUUUCAAUAAUGAAACUCUCCAACAGCAGCGUGAACCAUGUGAACACCAAUGGUAUCUUUUUCCCCAUGUGAACCAUGUGAACCAGCAAUGGGUGGAACCGAUCUUCCUGAAGUGUCCCCAUUUGCACUAAAAACCACUCCUCUACUUGUCGAUCGCUUGUUCUCUCAAUGGCUUUCACUUCCGGAGACUGGCAAUCUGUGUAGGUUUCCAUGAAUGGAUGGUCAUGAACACCGGUUCCAGAUAAUACCCAUAUGAAAAAAAAACUUAAGUUAUGAGGAUUAGAUGAGUACAAUAACUGGUUAUUUCAAGGGUAGUUAAGUCGGCGCUUUUGGUAAAACUUAAGUUUUGUGAAUGAGAAAGCUGCGAAGAGCUGGCAAAAUUGGUGAGUUUGUGAGCGUCUUUGUAAAUGAAAAGCAGGAUGAGUCUAAUGGGGCUGAUCCAGAAAUUAGUAAGCGAGAGAAGGACAGGCUCAAAGAAAUGCAGAAACUAAAAAAGCAGAAGAUUCAGGGAAUACUGGAUAUUCAAAAUGCUGCCAGUGACGCUGAGUAUUCUAGGAUAAUAAGGGAAAGGAGCGGUUGAAGUAUCUUUUGCAGCAGACAGAGUUGUUUGUUCAACUUAGUUUCUUAUUUUCAAUUUCAGGAGGAGGAACUGAAAUUAGAGCCUAUUAUCGCAUUUGAUUGUGUGAUCUAAGUUUGGCUCUCUCUUUCAAUAAAAAAGCUGAAACCAAGGAACGAGAUUGGUGCAAUGUAAUGAAAUCAGGGAACGAGAUUGGUGCAAUGUGGUUACAUGCCAUAUGGAUUCUGAACAGGCAUAUGUGUGGCUACUUCAAAGUUUUGUGAUUGGUGAGCAUAUCCUGAGACCAUGUCCUGAAAAUCCAACGCCUGUGAAGGCCUGUGCCAUCAGCGCUUGUGGUAAUUUUGCGGUUCUAGGGACAGCAGGGGGUUGGAUUGAGAGAUUCAAUCUCCAAUCUGGAAUAAGUCAAGGUAGUUAUGUGGACACGCCAAAAGGAAGUGCUCAUGAUGGGGAGUCUGCUGCUGAAGGGGCAAUAAGGGAAACAUAGGAAGAGGCAGGUGUUGAAGUGGAAGUCAUUUCCCCUUUUGCACAACUGGAUAUUCCCCUUAUUGGACAAACAUAUGUAAUCUUCUUGGCAAAGCUGAAGAAGCCCCAAUUUUCACCAGGACCAGAAUCAUCCGAGUGCUGUCUCUUUGAAUUGGAAGACAUUCCCUUUGGUUCUUUGGCAUUUUCUUCCAUUUUUGUUACUUUGAAUUUGGUAUGAGCUUUUUGUUUUUCUUUCUUUCCAUAAAUGUAAAUGUGCUUAAAAUUUAUCUAAAAAUUCUCAUCGACAUAAAUUUUCAUAAAUUGUAUUAUCUCUCUGUUGUUGGUAGAUUGCCCAUUUAUUUAAACAUAAUAUUUAAAUUUUAAAUUUAAA